CUGGAGCCAUACCCUCCCAAACUAAGUGUCUCAUCUCCACACACUUCUGUUAGGAUUCUUCUUCCAGGCUCAGCACCAUGACAGUGCAUCAGGAAUUUGGACACAGGGUCUCAAAAGGACAGGAUGAAGCACAGACAUGCUCCCCACCCCCACCUAUGUCAAAACAGCUGAAGGGUUCCUGUUACACAGCUGUUUUGAAGUUCACGUACCAGUUAGCAUGAACUGAUAAGCAUUGUCAGAGAUGGAGAAGAUGUGGGGAGGUGCCUCUGAACGUUUUUUGCCCCGGUAACCAGCCACCAC